GACGAACGCUGGCGGCGUGCUUAACACAUGCAAGUCGAGCGGUAAGGCCCUUUCGGGGUACACGAGCGGCGAACGGGUGAGUAACACGUGGGUGACCUGCCCUUAGCUCUGGGAUAAGCCUGGGAAACUGGGUCUAAUACCGGAUAUGACCUCAUGACUCAUGUUGUGGGGUGGAAAGCCUUGUGCGGCUAGGGGAUGGGCCCGCGGUCUAUCAGCUUGUUGGUGGGGUAAUUGCCACCAAGGCGACGACGGGUAGCCGGCCUGAGAGGGCGACCGGCCACACUGGGACUGAGACACGGCCCAGACUCCUACGGGAGGCAGCAGUGGGGAAUCUUGCGCAAUGGGCGAAAGCCUGACGCAGCGACGCCGCGUGAGGGAUGACGGCCU
rnacentral:rRNA from 1 species